rnacentral:rRNA from 1 species
GACGAACGCUGGCGGCGUGCCUAAUACAUGCAAGUCGAGCGAAGUUUUUCUGGUGCUUGCACCGGAAAAACUUAGCGGCGAACGGGUGAGUAACACGUAAAGAACCUGCCUCAUAGACUGGGACAACUAUUGGAAACGAUAGCUAAUACCGGAUAACAGCAUUAACUGCAUGGUUGAUGUUUAAAAGUUGGUUUUGCUAACACUAUGAGAUGGCUUUGCGGUGCAUUAGCUAGUUGGUGGGGUAAAGGCCUACCAAGGCGACGAUGCAUAGCCGACCUGAGAGGGUGAUCGGCCACACUGGGACUGAGACACGGCCCAGACUCCUACGGGAGGCAGCAGUAGGGAAUCUUCCGCAAAGGGCGAAAGCCUGACGGAGCAACGCCGCGUGAGUGAAGAAGGAUUUCGGUUCGUAAAGCUCUGUUGUUAGGGAAGAAUGAUUGUGUAGUAACUAUACACAGUAGAGACGGUACCUAACCAGAAAGCCACGGCUAACUACGUG